UGUGGUUUAGAUGAUAAUACAGGAAGUUCGUGGUCCCAUAUUUCAAUUUAAAUACCUCCAAUUUCUGCAAUCACGCUAUCAUUGUAUUCAGGGAGUCAAGAUGUUUCCUAACGUUCCAGCAGAUUGCUGAUACUUCCACUCACACUUGCCGGAUCAGUGGAAUGUUCAGAAGUUAUCAAGGGUUGCUCAGAAAAUCGAUUCCUUGGAAGCCGUAUGAAUUUUGAGAUGCAAGAGAUUACAACUGCGUUACUCUAGAUCGGUCAAGAUUUCUUCCGAAAGCAGACAAAAUAGACGGCAAUGGACAACAGACCGCCAAAGUCAAAUUUUACCAACCCAAUAAAAGUGUAAAGCAUCUGAUAUAGAUGUUCGUUCUGAUGAUGAAUUGUUUCCCAAUGUUCACGGCUGCGUGGACAAUACAUUUUGUGACCCAGUACAUAACACAUCCACAACGAAUUAUUCAUGCAUCACUCCAGCAGGCGAAAACAUAAGUUGUGAGGUUCCGGCACCAGAAACCUCACAAAUGCAUUGUCCACAUUGGAGGUAUAAUGUGAAUCCAAACGAAGACAGAGAAGUCUUUUCAGAUGGAAAAUGGGUGAGAUGGAAACCCUGCAACAUACAGUGUGGUCUCACAAUUGACAAUCUACCUCAAGGAACCAGUUUCUGUGAACAAUGGAUGUACGCUCACCGUUGGCAUGUUGCAAUCUGCCAUUUGGAAGAUGAGAAAUGGAGUCGUGAGUGUGCGGGGACAAUCCUUGAUAAUCACGUGAUCAUCACAGCUGGUAUCUGUUUGUAUCCACAUGUUGAAUACAAAAAGUUGAAAGUUUCAGUAUGUCAGUACUUCAAACAUUUCAGAUCAGCACAAUUCCCACCAUGCAUCUAUGAUGUGAAAUAUGUAUUUUCCAAUCCAAGGAAUUGCAUUGUCAAAAUCAAGACCAAGGCACCCAUACAAUAUAUGUGCCUUGUAUCGUACACCUGUAUUGUAUGGGUGCCUUUGUCUUCAUUUAGGCAAUGGAAUUCUCUGGAUUGAAAAAUACGUAUUCAACAUCAUGGAUGCCUGGUGAGGAAUGUGCUGCUUCGAAAUCUUUGAAGUACUGACCUGCUGCAACUUUCAACUUUUUGUGUUCAACAUGUGGAUACAAACAGAUACCAGCUGUGAUGAUCACGUGAUUAUCAAGGAUUGUCCCCGCACACUCCCGACUCCAAUUCUUAUCUUCCAAAUGGCAGAUUAAAACAUGCCAAUGGUGAGCGUACAUCUGCCGAUUCUGCCAAACGGCUGAUUACAAAAUGUCAGAUAAAGUGGUCAUAAUAUACAUGCUAUAAUACAACAACAAUAGGCUACAACGAUACAGUAAACAAUGCGUUAAGUGAUUGAAUAUCUUAUUAAUGACUGGUAGAAUGUUUUUUUUCGUCUUUUGUUUCCUUUCCUCAAGGUCUGGUUGCAUAAAAAUGUGAACCGUUAAAAGUUGCUGAUUGAAGAAGUCAUCUGCUUCUUAUUGCUUCUCGUGGCAUUCGACCGUCAUUCAAUCAAGAUUAAAAUUGAAAAAUUAUAAAACUGUGAGAAAGUGUAAUAAAUUUAUUCCAUCAUUUUCAUCGCUCCAUCUUCUGUUUGAAGCUUUUAUUUGAUUUCAACUCUAUAAUUACACCAAUUUUUCAUCA
rnacentral:lncRNA from 1 species